ensembl:lncRNA
UCUGUAUUUGAGAUGCUGUUAAUCUGUGACCCUACCCCAACCUUGUCCUUGCAAGAGACAUGUGCUGUGGUGACUCAAGGUUUAAAGGAUUUUGGGCUGUGCAGGGUGUGCUUUGUUAAACAAGUGCCUGAAGGCAGUAUGCUUGUGAAAAGUCAUCACCAUUCUCUUAAUCUCAAGUACCCAGGGACAUGUACACUGCCAAAGGUCGCAGGGACCUCUGCCUAGGAAAGCUAGGUAUUGUCCAAGGUUUCUCCCCAUGUGAUAGUCUGAACUAUGGCCUCGUGGGAAGGGAAAGACCUGAUCGUCCCCCAGCCUGACACCUGUGAAGGGUCUGUGCUGAGGAGGACUAGUAUAAGAGGAAAGAAGUCCUCUUGGCAGUUGAGAUAGAGAAAAGCAUCUGUCUCCUGCCCGUCCCUGGGCAAUGGAACAUCUCGGUGUAAAACCCGAUUGUAUGUUCUGUUUACUGAGAAAGGAGAAAACCGCCUUAGGGCGAAAGGUGGGACUUGCUAGCACAAUGCUGCUCUUUAUGCACUAAAAAGGUUUAUGGAGAUGUUUGCAUAUGCAUAUCAAGACACAGCACUUUUCCUUAAACUUAUGUCACAGAGAUCUUUAUUCACAUGUCUUACUGCUGACCUUCUCCCUACGAUGAUCCUAUUAUCCUGUCACUUCCCUUUUUCUAAGAUGGUAAAGAUAAUGAUCAAUAAAUACUGAAGGAACUCAGAGACCGGUGCCAGCAUGGGUCCUCUGUAUGCUGAGCGCCGGUCCCCUGGGCCCACUUUUUCUUUCUCUAUACUUUGUCUCUGUGUCUCAUUUCUUUUCUCAAGUCUCUUGUUUCACCCAAUGAGAAACGCCCACAGGUGUGGAGGGGCAGGCCACCCCUUCAGUGGGAAGCAGAGACUGGAGCCAGGUGGCACCUCAGGGUGGCAGUGCAACUGCACAGAUAUCCUGUUCUGUUUUUGUUCAGACUUUUACAGGGAUAUAGAUACAAUUUUAUGCUGCUAUUUGGGGUCUUUGUAUUCCUAUUAAUUAGAAAACAACUUUGAGGCCCGGUGCAGUGACUCAUGCCUGUAAUCCCAGCACUUUGAAAGGCCAAGGCUGGUGGAUCCCUUGAGGUCAGGAAUUCAAGACCAGCCUGGACAGCAAGAUAAAACCUCAUCUCUACAAAAAAAAAAUGCAAAAAUUAGCCGGGCAUGGUGGCGCACACCUGUAGUUCCACCUACUUAGGAGGCCGAGGCAGGAGGAUCGCUUGAACCCGGAAGGCGAAGGUUGCUGAGAGCCAAGAUUGCACCACUGCACUCCAGCCUGGGCAACAGAGUGAGAUCCUGUCUCAAACAAAGAGAAGAAAGAGAAAAGAGAGAGGGAAGGGAAGGGGAGGGGAGUGGAGGGGAGGGGAGGCAACUUUGAGGCUUUCGGUUUACAAAGAUUCCAUAAUAAAAGGGAAAAAACAGGCUCUGCGGUUCACCCAGCCUGCUGGGUUUGCAGCUACCUGUCAGUCAAUAAGACCAAGGCCAGAGCCUGGAAUACACACUCUUUACCUGAUGUCCUCCAUUUCAGAAAAGCUCCAUGGACCUCCAUCAUAACUUGAAGAAUCAUUCCUUCCAUUGAGUUUAGAAAGUUGAAUUGGCCAGGCACGGUGGCUCACACCUGUAAUCCCAGCACUUUGGGAGGCCGAGGCGGCAGGAUCACAAGGUCAGGAGAUCCAGACCAGCCUAGUCAACAUGGUGAAACCCCAUCUCUACUAAAAACACAAAAAUUAGCUGGGUGUGGUGGCACAUGCCUCUAAUCCCAGCUACUCAGGAGACUGAGGCAGGAGAAUCGCUUGAACCCAGGAGGUAGAGGUUGCAGGGAGCCAACAUCGUGCCACGGCACUCCGGCCUGGGCAACAGAGACAGAUUCUGUCUCAAAAAAAAAAAAAAAAA